GACGAACGCUGGCGGCGUGCUUAACACAUGCAAGUCGAACGGAAAGGCCCUGCUUUUGUGGGGUGCUCGAGUGGCGAACGGGUGAGUAACACGUGAGUAGCCUGCCCUUGACUUUGGGAUAACUUCAGGAAACUGGGGCUAAUACCGGAUAGGAGCUCCUGCUGCAUGGUGGGGGUUGGAAAGUUUCGGCGGUUGGGGAUGGACUCGCGGCUUAUCAGCUUGUUGGUGGGGUAGUGGCUUACCAAGGCUUUGACGGGUAGCCGGCCUGAGAGGGUGACCGGCCACAUUGGGACCGAGAUACGGCCCAGACUCCUACGGGAGGCAGCAGUGGGGAAUAUUGCACAAUGGGCGGAAGCCUGAUGCAGCAACGCCGCGUGCGGGAUGACGGCCUUCGGGUUGUAAACCGCUUUCGCCUGUGACGAAGCGUGAGUGACGGUAAUGGGUAAAGAAGCACCGGCUAACUACGUG
rnacentral:rRNA from 1 species